UGUCAAGAAGAUGGCGGAAGGAUGU
rnacentral:piRNA from 1 species